CCUACGGGUGGCAGCAGUGAGGAAUAUUGGUCAAUGGGAGAGAUCCUGAACCAGCCAAGCCGCGUGAGGGAAGACGGCCCUAUGGGUUGUAAACCUCUUUUGUCGGAGAACAAAACCCGGGACGUGUCCCGGACUGCGUGUAUCCGAAGAAAAAGCAUCGGCUAACUCCGUGCCAGCAGCCGCGGUAAUACGGAGGAUGCGAGCGUUAUCCGGAUUUAUUGGGUUUAAAGGGUGCGUAGGCGGAUUUUUAAGUCAGCGGUAAAAUGUCCGGGCUCAACCCGGGCCGGCCGUUGAAACUGGGGAUCUUGAGUGGGCGAGAAGUAUGCGGAAUGCGUGGUGUAGCGGUGAAAUGCAUAGAUAUCACGCAGAACUCCGAUUGCGAAGGCAGCAUACCGGCGCCCGACUGACGCUGAGGCACGAAAGCGUGGGGAUCGAACAGGAUUAGAUACCCGAGUAGUC
rnacentral:rRNA from 1 species